UACGUAGGUGGCAAGCGUUGUCCGGAUUUACUGGGCGUAAAGAGCGCGCAGGCGGUCGUUCAAGUCGAGUGUGAAAGCCCCCGGCUCAACUGGGGAGGGUCACUCGAUACUGAUCGACUCGAAGGCAGAAGAGGGAAGCGGAAUUCCCGGUGUAGUGGUGAAAUGCGUAGAUAUCGGGAGGAACACCAGUGGCGAAGGCGGUUGCCUGGAGCUUUGCUGACGCUGAGGCGCGAAAGCGUGGGGAGCGAUCCGG
rnacentral:rRNA from 1 species